rnacentral:rRNA from 1 species
GUUACUGAGGUCGCUGCACUACAGGACCUAAAGGUUGACUACGUGAGGUCUUUACGAGAAGUCUUACUCAAACCACUCCACACUAUCGAUGGGUUUUCCACCUUCUCACAGGGUUCUGUUGGGAAGUUCUACCUCUCGGGGGUCGACAAAGUCGUUCUACAGUUGUGUGUCGGUUGACCCUGGUCGUCGUGGUGGUACUAAACGUUACGUUUCGAGAGAUUCUAGUCCUACACCAACUUCUGGUAGUUCUUGUAGUGACAGAUAUAAGCCAACAAAAGACGGGGUUUGGUUACAGUUGAAGAAGUCUAAGGAAAAGCUGUAGUCAAACCGAAGUGAUCGAAGAAGAAACCAACGAUGGAAAACCUCUAAUGUAUAAGACUCAAGAGGGGGUUCGAGACGGUUAAGGGGGUCGAGAGAAUUAAGUUUAGGUUGUGAGAGAAAGAAUUGUGUCUUAAGAAAAUCAAGGGCAUCUGUGAAGUAGAAAGGUUGGAGUCCUUGUGACCUCACCUCAAGAAAGAAUCGUUACUUCAGAACGUUUAAGUGUUCCACCAAUUAUAGAAAUCCGUUUAAUCUUGAUGGUACGGUUAGAAGAUCCAGAUUCUUAAAGUUCACUAUUUUAGAUCUAUCACACGAACCAUUUCAAUAAAGAGAUGGUAUUCCACUAGGUUCAAAUUCCAUGACCUCCACCUAUUCGAAACUCUUUAAAACCCCGUUUAGUAGAUCCCUAAAGUGAUGAUAUUUGUCCUGUACGUUUGAUAAAUGAAGGAGCUUGCAUAGAAAAUUUUAUAGUCAUAAAUAGAGAAGUACAAGUGAUUUUUGGUAGUUUCACGCAUUUAAACGUUACAUAUAGGUUGAAAAUUCAAAUGAGUAAAGAAGGGCUUUUAAGAGUAGUAUGUAUAAAACAUACCACUAUCUGUUUACGGCUUAUCUAACACCCUACGUCAGUUGUGAUUUUCUACUUCUUCUAUAUAACUGCGUAAGAACACGACUUUGGAAAUCUCUAUUAAGUACGCAAUUUGGUAAGUAAUGUAUCAAAAGUGGUUUGUUUGGUAGAAGGGAGGACUCUUUAGGUGCCAGGUGAUCAAGAAGAUUCGUUAAUAAUAAAGGACCUACUGAUCUCAGAUACUACGGAUGACGUUAGGUUUCCGCUAAUUAAAGACUUUCUCAUUUGGAUAUUAGAAGUCCUUUUUCUCGUUUUAUCCUUUUUGUAAAAACGUCCUCCUUUCCUUCCAUUAGCAUCGAUUCCAUGUUUCGACCGUAUUAUAGUAAUCGCAGGAAUAAUAAAACGGUAAGUAACGAAAGUUAUUGGGAGUAGGUCACAAGGUUUCAAUCUAGACAGGAAUUAUCAGCUGGUUGACAAAACCGACGAUUGCCGCUUGGGAAAUUGAAGAGACGUUAAAGAGACCGGUAUACUAUAUUGAGUAUAAGCAUUAAGAGUCCAAAUAGCUCCAGUGGUUUAUAUGUAAGAUGUUUCUUACACUUCUUGAGUAGUCCAAGGUUUGGUGUGUCGAGAUGACCUAGUUGACAAAAGUGGUCCACACGAUAUCUACCCUUGGCUCAACACUGUUCUUACUACGACGGAAAUCAAACAGGAAAACACUUACCUCGAUCAUCCCAUAAGGUGAGCAUAAGUGACAACGUGGAGGUCUGUAGUAGGUUCUGUUAGUUUUUAGAAAACCUAAGAUCAGAGACACGUUACCUUUAGACUUCGACCAGAUCUAACCAAUAAAGUCAACGUUGUGACGAUGAAUGAAGGAAAAGUCAACGUUAAUACGUAGAUUCCUAGACGGCCCACUCGAAUUCGUGUAGCUUUGACCACCUAUGUGUAUUCGUCUGGGACUGUCAUUUCACAGGACGUUAGGAACGUAGUAAUAUGUCUACAACCCACUUUCAACAAAAAGGUUAAGGGGGACCGGGUUGAUGUCCCUCUUGCCUUUCACAAAGUAGCGCUGAUCACUACUUUAGAUACCUUACGAGUAUUUACCGUCGGGAUGGUAUGUUAAAUAGUAUACGUUAACAACUAGGACAUUAACGGGCACACGCCCACUGUCAACACCGACGGUAUCACGACGACGAUACCAAGCCUUAGUUGUACUUGUUCAGCCUCUGUGAGGAUGUAUACCUCACACAGAGGAGAUUGUGGCUGAACUAAAACUACCUAUACCUGUGUGAUAGUUUACCGUUGAGUAGUUGUACCAGCGCCAGUAGUCUGAGCCAAGGCAGAACACCCGAUGACUAUGUACCUGCUUUUUACUUACCUUCUGUUAAUGGUUAUCACACUGCUCCUACUGGGAACAACUGGAACUCCGUUCGCGGGUCUAGACCGAACUGAUCGACCCAAGGCAAUACGACCAGGGCCUAGUACUUCAUGACCUCCCACGACUCGUUGACGAGUCGGAGUGGUGGGAAGAACGAGUCCAAAAGGUCGUUCGGGAACUCCGGUCCUUACAGCGACCACCACGGGGAGGGGACCCGGACGACGUCGUCUGACAAACACACGUGGUCCAGUAGAAACUAGAAGACCCUCAGCUCCGACUCGAGCCUCGACCGGUGUAUCCUCCGGUGGGCGAGUAGGCUGUCGAAGCACUCGUGGGACGGCUCCACGUUGACCCGGCACGGUUGUCGGGAGCGGUAGAAGAGGCCGUCACUCGUUCCGCGUCCCUAACAAACAAACACACCAACCUCAAAAUCAACACCCCCGAACACCUGUUCACACGAGACCUUCUCCAGGACUCCCGACCAAAAUAUCACUUUCGGUUCGAUACAUCUGAGAAAAAAAGGGGACUUUUUAUUAGGAUCCAUCAAAACGAAACACUGUUACUUUUAUGAGGAUCCAAGGCAACCUGACCUAGCACAGGCGACGUUAUUUCCUUUUUUUUAUCUACGUCCGGGCUCCUCCAUAGGUUCUGCAAAGGUACUAAAAUAUGAUGUAGUUGAACUUCGUACGUCGUGCUCUGUUGCCUUAGGGUAUUUCCCUCCAACUCCGGUACACUUCCACGGCCACCGUUUCCCUACUAUUCUAUCUUCCCGAAACUAUUACAAAGGUUUCCUUGAACUUCCAAACGGUACAGAUAACGUCGUUUUCCUGGAACCACUCGAUAUUACAAAUACACAUGAUAUAUUCAUAACUAUCAUCAUCAUGAUUUGUAUACUAUCAUCAUCAUGAUGAUUUGUCUUAGGGUUGUUUAUAUCACAACCUUAUUAGGUUUUGUAUACAAUCAUCACCAUGGUUCAUAAACUCAGAUGUUACAUCUAUCUUCAACCUCAACCUAGUACAAGUCUAACACAAAUCGUGCAGAUCCAACAAACUUAGCCAGGCACAGAGUGACCAUCGUAUGUGUAUCCCAAGGUUAUGACAUGGCACUUCUUUUCCUCUUUUUAUUCCUCUUUUAAAUCCCAUGCUCUGCAUGGAAAUCGGUUUCAAAAACACGCGCACACAAACACGUGCAAAUACACUAGCUAUGACACCCGCUCAAAGUUGUAUAUCUUCACUGAAUAUUUUAUUAGAUCCAUCCUCCGUCGAAUAAACUCUUUUUUUUAACACAGAAUCCGAAUGGGAUUCUACGUACAGAGCCUCUGGACUGAGAUCCAUUUGCGCAUCUAGAACUAGCCGAGGUUACCGUUUGUUUUGUUGCUUUUAUGUAGGGGUGAAAUAGAGGCCGGCCAGCAGCAGCGGCGUGGGCCUGGCUCUGUGAAACACACAACACAUCACGACAUCUAUCUGUGUUCUACGCGAGGGGAUCCUUUUGUUUACUUUCCGACUGUGGUAAAAGAAUUUAUCCUAACCGUGGCCCAAAAAUUUUAUCUGACUGUGGCAAAGUUUGACCCACAUGGAUCGAACUGGGUCCGACAGUAAAUAAGAAUUGACCCAAAUUCAUAAGAAUGUGAAUGUGUGUGUUCAUCAUGACCCUUAUGAACUCGACAUCGUCCAGGUAACGAUAUGUUUCAUGUGUCUGAACGACGGUCAUUCCUAAGCGACCCAACGAGACCUCCCCUCCGUUCUCAGGCCGACCCUCGCUUCGGGUUCCUCCUCUUCGGUCGUUCUUCGAUCGAUCUUCGUCGAACAUCUAACAUGAGGAGAACCCAUUCGAUCUACCUAGAUCACCCGUCGCAGCCGGUUUAGCAGUUUUAGCGCGACGUCUAUGUCCUCGACCACCUCUGCCGAAUGGUCUUGUUCCUCCUGACGUUCUUCUAGCGUUACGCGCACUUUUCCGAAGCGCGUUAGCACCUUGCGGAGUCGUCGUGGCUACAGCGGUCGCUCUUUUGGUACUAACUACGCGAGUUGCUGGAGCUCCUCUGCAAGGAAGUCCGGGAGUUCGAGCAGUUCCGGACGGUCUGGUUCUUGUUUCACACCGAGAAGGAGUCCCGGCCCUUGCAUAGGUUUGUCGACGCACUCCAGUUCCUGCUCUACUACCUAGUAUACGUGUAACGGUUGAAGCCGUUGACGCGGGUCGUCUGACAGUAAUAGUGGCUUCGUGACUAAUCUCUGGGCCGUCACUUACGUUUCUUUAUACAGUUUCAAGACAGCUACGUUCCUCUCGUCCUUUACGUCCACCAACCAUCGGCAAACCAUACGGUCCUGUGUCUAUAAGCAUAACGACUCCCUCUAGUCCACCUCCUGCUUUUACGGUCAAUGGGUUUGCUACAAUGUUCCAGACUAAACCGUUACGUAAGAAAGGUACCUAUAUAGAGUGACUGUUGAGAAGUUUUGAACUAGUCUUUUUGGUAAUGUUUUUUAGUGCAAAAAAAAGCUUUUUAGUGCACUGUACCUUUAUGUUUUUCCCGUAACAUGACAAAUAAAAUAGGGUUAUUUCUUUCGUAAGCGUGAUGGUACCAUCCAGACUUUAAGUACCGCUCCUUCUUUCAAAAGGUCGUCCUUCGAACCUCCUAUGAUAUAGUGUUAAGUCUUUAAAGUCAAGUAGACUUGACUUCCGUUAAUGUUUUUUGAAAAGUUUAGUUGUACACUAACCGUUUCCACCAAGACGAUAGCAAAUGUUCCCACAUAACCGGUUGCCUCGUCUCCAACGGUAGUUCUCAAAGACACACCUACGAAGUCUUCUACCUUUACAUCACGCAAUACGACUUCAAAAGAGUCACGAUGUUGUCGUGCUCUUACAUCAAUUUAAAGACCCUAUAACGGUGCUUUGUUUCUAAGUUUACCAAGGUUAGCUUCCGUUUACACACCGACGACUUUCCGCAGUAUACAACCACCACCUUCUCAUGUACGGGUUGCCUUCGAACAGGCUAUAAUAGCUACCCAGUAGCGUCGUCGACCUGACCUGGAGGCGUAAAGCAUAGUAAGCUCCCUAACGUGUCCCGCAUCGAGUGUAGGUGUGGUUUCCCCAACAGGUAAACCUAGACUUUGGUCGGUUGUAGGAGAACCUAAGGUUGUACUUAGGAUUCUAAACACUGAAACUCUCCAGAUUUUAUGACUUUGGUCGGUUGUCGUUUCCCCGACAGGUAACCCUAGACUUUGGUCUGUUGUAGGAGAACCUAAGGUUGUACUUAGGAUUCUAAACACUGAAACCCUAUAGAUUUUAUGACUUAGUUUUCCUACUUCUACAGCGACUCUUACACUGCGUUCUCAACCGCCCUUGUGACCCGAUGAAUGGAGGCCUUAUGUAGCGUCUACCAUAAAAAAGUAAAUUUGUACUACACAAGUCGAAGCCGUAAGAGGAGGAGGUAUGGUAAUCGUUCAGUCCUGAAGACGUUCUAAGUUGACUAACCUAAGGUUUACGUUAAUUUCCCCUUCUGUUGUACCUGUCGAAUAAUCUAGGAAGUAGCGCAUUACUCAGGCUCGAUUUCCUCUAUUUUUCUACGUACCUGUAGCCUGACGUCACGUGGCGCUUCCUCGCCUGACUUUCUGGGUGGUACAGCCUACAAUAACUGAACGAUCUGCCGUUCCUUGACGAGGCCUUCGGGGGUUGCCCCUUAUUCCGAAGCAGUAAAUUCUUCUUUCCGUUCCGUACUAGAGGGUCUAACACUACACCAAACCUAGGACCUCUUCACGCGUUAUCCAAACACUACGUAAUUUAUCUUACGACGAUCAAACCAACAUUCUGCUCUAGUAAGAGGUUAAGUUUAAAGAUAUAUUUAUCAGUGGUUGGUUACGUGGACGUUCCCGAUCG